CAGCAGCCGCGGUAAGACAGAGGAUGCAAGCGUUAUCCGGAAUGAUUGGGCGUAAAGCGAGCGCAGGCGGUUAGAUAAGUCUGAAGCUAAAGGCUGUGGCUUAACCAUAGUACGCUUUGGAAACUGUUUAACUUGAGUGCAAGAGGGGAGAGUGGAAUUCCAUGUGUAGCGGUGAAAUGCGUAGAUAUAUGGAGGAACACCGGUGGCGAAAGCGGCUCUCUGGCUUGUAACUGACGCUGAGGCUCGAAAGCGUGGGGCGCAAACAGGAUUAGAUACCCCCGUAGUCCCUGUCUCUUAUACA
rnacentral:rRNA from 1 species